UAGAGAGGUCACUGUUCCCUGGCAGACAGCUCUGAGGCUCUGUCACUUCCCAAUUCCCUGAUUUUUUUCUUCAGUUGUCUGUACAGUGAUCCAGACUCUCCAUGGCCCACAGGGAGACUGCAGAGCUGAUGACCUGAGCCACAGGACAUGCAGCCUGGGGAUGAGAGCGGCAUCAAAUCUUCUAGAAUUGCACUAAUAUCUGGCACCAACCACACGUGUGGCUAGAUGACAAAGAAGGGACCACUCAUACCACCAUUUCUCAGAGGAGGAAACUGGGCCACACUUGCCUGGGGCCACACAGCUGGCAAGCGACAAAACCAGGACUCAACGCAGUUCAGCUGACUUUAGUGUAGUGUAUACCAGUCUACUCCUGAAAGAGGCUGAAAAGCAGCUCCACCUACCCCAUCACCAUGUCCUCCACAGUGGUCCUUAGCUCCCACCCAGGACCAUGUUCCCAGUCUCCCGGUUCCUCAUCACCUUUUUCUUGGCCUGUGUCAAGUCCGCUUCCAUUCUGCUGGCACAUAUGGAAGGCCACCCCUAUGCCAGGCACUGCACUAGGCACUGUGGUACAAGGAAGGACCUUAUUCC